AGUAGGGGAGAGACUGAAAAGUCCAGAAAGAACGACUUGUCUGAUGAGCUUGUGGAAAAAAAACAUUAAACCUUUGUCAACUCUGCACACCUGGUGUAUGUAUCAGUGGGACAGCGAGUACGCGACUUCGACAUGCACAUUUCAACAUCUUUGAAAACGCUCUUAUUUCCAGUUGCCACUUCCUGUGUGCCUCCUCUGUCUGCCACUGAGCGCUGGCUCCCACACCUGUCCCUGAUUGGCAAUCAAGACAUACCUGUUAAUGGCAAAACUGGACAAUCAUGCACUACAUCAGUGGUCCCCAACCUUUUUGUAGCUGCGGACGGGUCAACGCUUGAAAAUUUGUCCCAUGGACCGGGGCGGGGGGGUAUUAUUAUUUUUUUAUUUUUUUAUUUAUUUUUUUCAUAAAG